rnacentral:ncRNA from 2 species
UGAGUGUUAUGAUGAUGGAAUGUUCGCAUUCUUAGUCUAGCUCUGGUCUACCGCUAGGAUUUUU